GUCUCGGCCAAUACCACGUGCGAGAAGGUCUUCACCAUUAUUAUCAUGCUUAUUGGAGCUCUGAUGCAUGCCGUGGUCUUUGGUAAUGUGACGGCCAUCAUUCAGCGCAUGUACUCCCGGCGAUCCCUCUACGAGAGCAAGUGGCGCGAUCUCAAGGAUUUUGUGGCAUUGCAUAACAUGCCCAAGGAGCUGAAGCAACGCAUUGA